CUGCAAUUCCGUUAUCUGCUGUCUGCUCUGUGCUCUGUGUGCUCUGGGUCCUCCUGCAAUACCUGCUUCUUUACGUUGUAAACAAUAAAGGAAGUGGGCUGCGUAAUGUUGGCACGCUGGCUGGCAUUCUUUAUAAUUUGCGCAGGACCAUAUCUCUGGAACCCAUUGGUCGAUUCGUGUGAUUUACACCUUUUUCUUAACCAUCAGAACCAAUAGAAUCGAUGGGCAGUUCCCAAAUCUACGUAAACAUUACCAUAGCGGACGUAAUAGAGAAGCCAACGAAGCAUAUCUGAAAGUGCAAGCCUGGACGGCAAUACUUUAUACCGAGUAUAUUGCCAUAAAUAUGAUGAUUGAUUAUCAGUAAAAAAUUCUACGUGACA